ACUGCUUCAAUAUUCCAUCUCAUCCUGGUCAGAAUAGCUGCCAUCAAGACAAUCAGACGCAACCAAGGCCAGCAAUGUGGCCAAGACAUGGAACCAGACCGGGGUGGGUCAACAGACGAAUGAAGAGAGGAAGGGGGACACACACGUGAAAUUAUAGCAUUCAUGGGAAAUGGAUGGAACUUGAAAAAUAAGCAAAAUGAAGCUAGAUUUGAAAAGA